rnacentral:rRNA from 1 species
GAUGAACGCUGACAGAAUGCUUAACACAUGCAAGUCAUUGGCGAAGCUGCGCUUGCGCAGUCUAGCCAAGGCGGACGGGUGAGUAACGCGUAAGGAACUUGCCCUGCAGACAGGGAUAACAGACGGAAACGACUGAUAACACCUGGUGUUGUCAGGCUGGCGCAUGCCGGCCUGAUGAAAGGAGACGCUGCAGGAGAGCCUUGCGUCCUAUUAGCUAGUUGGUGGGGUAACGGCCCACCAAGGCGAUGAUAGGUAGCCGGCCUGAGAGGGUGAACGGCCACAAGGGGACUGAGAUACGGCCCUUACUCCUACGGGAGGCAGCAGUGGGGAAUAUUGGACAAUGGGGGCAACCCUGAUCCAGCAAUUCUGUGUGCACGAAGAGGGUUUUCGGAUUGUAAAGUGCUUUCAGCAGGGAAGAAGAAAGUGACGGUACCUGCAGAAGAAGCGACGGCU